CCAUCAUCUCCUGUUUCAUCGUCUUGUUUGCACGAUGGAAAAGGAAUCAAUGGAAAAGCACCGUUACAGUUGGUGACAUUUCCUGGCUCCUGACCUUUCUCCAUCCUUUGGUAACACUUCCUCUCCUGCUCAUUGGAUCACAGCAGCCCAUCUGUUGGUAAAUGGAAGACUGCUGACCGUGGUGAAGGAAAACCGUUGAAGAGGUGGAGGUAUUUGACCUUGACAGCCCCCCAAGUUGCACAACCCCCGGCUGCCCCUCCCAACCCCCAUUUUCCCAUCUUAAACCCCCCCCCCCUCCAGCCUUUGCCGGUUCACCCCUUUUGAGGCCGCCUAAGUGGACGUUUGUGGGGAGGAGCUUCGGACCAGACGACGCCAUUGGACGUUGCAGCCGUCUAUCACAACCGAGUGGGGGCUGUUCUGCUGUGGGCCAUGUGUUCCUGGUGAGUUCCCAGCACGCCGUCCUCCUCCCCGCCAUCAUGAGGCAGCAGCGUGCCGCGCCCCCCUCCCUCCUGAC
ensembl:lncRNA